GUGGUGGAGUGAGUAUGAAUAUGGGAAUGCAGGCCCCUACAGAGGCCAGAGACAUUGGCUUACUCCUAGAGCUGACUUACAAGCAGUAGGGAACUUCCUGACUUGGAAGCUGGGACUCAAGCUUGAGUCCUUUGCAAGAGCAGUAUGCUUAUAACCAGUGAUACAUCUCCACUGCGCUCCAUUCUGUAACUCUUAAAGUUUUGUAUCUACGUCUUCCAUGGCAGUUUUGCCUUGUGCUGGGAAUGGAUAGGUGAUAAAGAGUUCUCAUGAAGACUGACAAGGAGGAGAAAUGUCUGGGACUGGAGAGAUGGCUGCAUGGCUGAAACCACUCACUGCUCUUCCAGACAACUGGGAGUUCAGUUCCCAGCACCAAUGUCUGAUGGUUCACAGCCUCCUUCAUCUCCGCUUGCAGGGGGUCUGAUAUUCCUCUUCUGGCCUCUUCAGGUACCAGCACAAAUGUGACACACAUACACAAAGACACACAAAUGCACAAAUGAAGGUAAGAAUAAACUUUUAAAAAAAUUAUUACUACUUUUUUUUUUUACAAUCCAGUCGUUGUACCCCUCCCAGUCCACCUUACAGUUCUGCAUCCCAUCCUUCCUCCCCACUGAUUCCAAGAGAAUGUUCCCCACCACCCUCUAGGCCUCACCACUCCCUGGGGCUUCAAGUCUCUCAAGGGUUAGGUGCAUCU